GACGAACGCUGGCGGCGUGCUUAACACAUGCAAGUCGAACGGAAAGGCCCUGCUUUUGUGGGGUGCUCGAGUGGCGAACGGGUGAGUAACACGUGAGUAACAUGCCCUUGACUUUGGGAUAACUUCAGGAAACUGGGGCUAAUACCGGAUAGGAGCUCCUGCAGCAUGGUGGGGGUUGGAAAGUUUCGGCGGUUGGGGAUGGACUCGCGGCUUAUCGGCUUGUUGGUGGGGUAGUGGUUUACCAAGGCUUUGACGGGUAGCCGGCCUGAGAGGGUGACCGGCCUCAAGGGGACUGAGAGAGGGACCAGAAGGGUACGGGAGGCAGUAGUGGGGAAUAUGGCACAACGGGCGGAAGCCUGAUGCAGCAACGCUGCGUGCGGGAUGACGGCCUUCGGGUUGUAAACCGCUGUCGCCUGUGACGAAGCCGGAGUGACGGUAAUGGGUAAAGAAGCACCGGCUAACUACGUG
rnacentral:rRNA from 1 species